AUGAUUAUGAGGGAGAAAUUAAAAUUAUGGC
rnacentral:piRNA from 1 species